rnacentral:rRNA from 1 species
AGAGUUUGAUCCUGGCUCAGAACGAACGCUGGCGGCGUGCCUAAUACAUGCAAGUCGAACGAGAAAGUGGGGUAACCCAUUAGUAAAGUGGCAGACGGGUGAGUAAUACAUAGGUAACUUACCUCCAAGAUGGGGAUAACCUUCCGAAAGGAGGGCUAAUACCGAAUGAGACCACAGUUGCGAUGGCAACAGAGGUCAAAGGUGGCCACUACUUGUAAGCUAUCGCUUGGAGAUGGGCUUAUGCACCAUCAGCUAGUUGGUGAGGUAACGGCUCACCAAGGCUUUGACGGUUAGCUGAUCUGAGAGGUUGAUCAGCCACACUGGAACUGAGACACGGUCCAGACUCCUACGGGAGGCAGCAGUAGGGAAUAUUGCGCAAUGGAGGAAACUCUGACGCAGCGACGCCGCGUGGGUGAUGAAGGCCUUCGGGUCGUAAA